UCCCUGGUGGUCCAGUGGCUAAGACUCCGUGCUCCCAAUGCAAAAGGCCCAGGUUCAGUCCCUGGUCAGGGAA
rfam:Ovis aries breed Texel chromosome 2, whole genome shotgun sequence.